GUAGGUGGUGGUUUAAGUCUGUUGUGAAAGCCCUGGGCUCAACCUGGGAAUUGCGAUGGAGACUGCAAGGCUAGAAUCUGGCAGAGGGGGGUAGAAUUCCACGUGUAGCAGUGAAAUGCGUAGAUAUGCGGAGGAACACCGAUGGCGAAGGCAGCCCCCUGGGUCAAGAUUGACGCUCAUGCACGAAAGCGUGGGGAGCAAACAGGAUUAGAUACCCUGG
rnacentral:rRNA from 1 species